AUUGAACGCUGGCGGCAGGCUUAACACAUGCAAGUCGAGCGGGGUGAUGGUGCUUGCACUAUUACUUAGCGGCGGACGGGUGAGUAAUGCUUAGGAAUCUGCCUGUUAGUGGGGGACAACAUCUCGAAAGGGACGCUAAUACCGCAUACGUCCUACGGGAGAAAGCAGGGGAUCACUUGUGACCUUGCGCUAAUAGAUGAGCCUAAGUUGGAUUAGCUAGUUGGUGGGGUAAAGGCCUACCAAGGCGACGAUCUGUAGCGGGUCUGAGAGGAUGAUCCGCCACACUGGGACUGAGACACGGCCCAGACUCCUACGGGAGGCAGCAGUGGGGAAUAUUGGACAAUGGGGGGAACCCUGAUCCAGCCAUGCCGCGUGUGUGAAGAAGGCCUUAUGGUUGUAAAGCACUUUAAGCGAGGAGGAGGCUCUUUUGGUUAAUACCCAAGAUGAGUGGACGUUACUCGCAGAAUAAGCACCGGCUAACUCUGUGCCAGCCGCCGCCGUAA
rnacentral:rRNA from 1 species